rnacentral:misc_RNA from 1 species
AAAGUGCGAAAAGUGUCAUGACUUGCAGAUUCCCGAGAGCUGACAAAUCUCUGAAUGCAAUUGGCAGUCGCGUUAGACCCGACUAUGUAUUGUAGAGUGUAGAUGCUCCAGCUAUUCAUCAUGUAAUAUAUCUAUAGAAACAUAUGUAUAUUACCAUGGAUCUGCGCUUGCGAGCGAUCUCUCCUUCGCGAGUGUUAAAAGAAAAGGUCUGCGAUAUGUGUAUUUACGUGCACAUACUCGCGCACCGAUGAUCUAGGGAAGAGAGGGUUCGCGCUCUCUCGCCCCGAAACAAUCGGAUGUCAACGUUUUAUACUUGAGACCAACCAUACUUCUACAUAUCUAUAUGAGCCACCUCUACAAUGCAUGAAAACCCGCUGAACUUAA